AUCAGCCUCAACCUGUACCCAACCACCUCGGGCAGCAUUCAUGGCUCUUUGGCGUUUCUGUUAACAAACCAAAUUUAGAGCAUAGAACUACACUUGCCAGAGGUCCACUUGGAACACAGAUCAUUUUGGCCUACUUCUGUUUGGUAUCAGCUUCAACAGAUGGAUAAGGAUUAGAUGUGG
rnacentral:lncRNA from 11 species